UGAGGAAUAUUGGGCAAUGCCCGCAAGGGUGACCCAGCAACGCCGCGUGGAGGAUGAAUGUCGUAAGAUUGUAAACUCCUGUUAGAGGGGAAGAAUAGUACCGGUUGGACCGGUAUAUGACUGUACCCUCAGAGAAAGCCCCGGCUAACUACGUGCCAGCAGCCGCGGUAAUACGUAGGGGGCAAGCGUUGUCCGGAUUUACUGGGUGUAAAGGGCGCGCAGGCGGGAUAAAAAGUCAGUGGUGAAAUCCUACAGCUUAACUGUAGAACUGCCUUUGAUACUUUUAUUCUUGAGUUCGGGAGAGAGAGACGGAAUUCCUAGUGUAGAGGUGAAAUUCGUAGAUAUUAGGAAGAACACCAGUGGCGAAGGCGCCUUACUGGCUCGGUACUGACGCUGAGGUACGAAAGCGUGGGGAGCAAACA
rnacentral:rRNA from 1 species